UGUCUCAAAAAAAAAGUACAUGAUGUCGAUUUAUCUUACCACUGGUGAUGAUAAUCUUGAUCAUUUGGCAAAAGUGGUAUCUUCCAGGUUUUUCCACUGUAAUCUCAUUCUUUUCCCCCUUUAUAAUUAGAAAAUAUUUGAGGGGAGAUGCUUUGUAGAUUUGGAGAUGCUUUGAUUAUGUAGAUAUCCUAUUUCUCCCUUUUGCCCUCUAACUUACCAUUCAUCAGUAGAUCUUUCUAAGGCAAUUAUUACUGUGAUAUUUUAAGGGUGAUCUUCCAUUUCCCUCUUAUGCAAUAGAAGAAAAGUAACGGGUAACUAUUGUGUAUAAACAGGGUGUCCACGUGAUUUGUCAUUCAAACCAGGACACUUUUGAAAGUGAAAGAGGGUACUGUUAAUAACUACAGUAUGGCAACAAGCGUAAGUUUGUCCUGGGAAAACUGGGAUGCACAGUCACUCUAUGUGUAAAAUUGACUCUCCAGCUCAAAACAACAGAGACGGGUCAACAUUUACUGAAAGUAUCUGUAUCUUCGAGAAAAUCAACAGCAAUCUUUGGUGGGGUUUUGAGGGGAAACAGAUCAUCUUAUAGCUGAGUUAAAUGUGCAAAGGAAUAGAAACUGCUGGCUUGUGGAAGAUAAUUGUGAAAGAGAAUCAAGGGCUAGGAAGCAGAAGCCAUAAGCAGCCUAAUAUACAAGAAAUAAUCCCCCUCGUCCAAUCAAGAGAGAAUGCAAACCUGCCUAUGAACCAGCUGAAAAGUAUCUGUUCCUGCGAAAGGGACUAGUAUGUCGCAUAAACUCAUUAGUCUUUCAAACCCUAAACACUUUCUUCUCUCAUAUCAAGGCCAAUUUUGAGUAUUCUGUUUAAUAAUUUCCUUCACACAUCUAGUCACUUAGAUCAUUUCCUUUUAGAAGACACUAAGCCACGAAGAAGGUAAAAUGGGGAAUCUCACCAGGGAGGGCGUGUUCCCUCUGAUGGUGUUCUCCUAUAUUUAUUUGGAAAAGGUUUCAGACCCCAGCAUCUGCCCAAGCUGUCUCCAGUUGGUCUAUAGUGGGAAACACCUCUUUGGCACAAAGUCAUGACCCAGUAUUAUUUUUUCCCAUUCUACUGAGGAGGAAACGGAGCCUUUGUGAGGGGCAAAGGAUCUGUUUAAAUUCCUGACUUGACACAGUAAGCGGCCAGAGUAGGGAUGACUCAUGCUGUAGCUAUGGGCCUCCUCUUUCAACUUUAAUGGGAAUAGUCAACAUCCUAUUAUUUGAAUGUUUAUCCUGGGUUCAUAUUAUUUCACACAGCGAAAGGCAUUUAAUGGUAGAAAUAUUUUCAAACCUAAAAAGUUAAAGGAGAGGAAAAUCUUCCACAUAUCCAUACUGGAGACAAUGGCGUGGAAGAAACCCGUACGGAAGAUCAGAGAUUGUUUGAUAAAUCUGUCACCUUAUGUGGAAAGCCAUAGUGUCUAUGAAUAAUAAUUUCCAGCUCAGAGGAUCUGAUGAGUGCUUCAGUUAGACCCUGCCCCCAGAGUGCUCAGAACAUAAUGAUUAUUUUUCUUGUUGUUGUAAAUAUUAAUAAGCAACAACUGUAGCCUAACACUGUGCGGAAAACUUAAAAACUAGUGAUACAAAGCAGAUAAAUAACUCUAGAAAUUAUUCCGGGCAUUCCUGGAGCUAUUCAAGAUAGAGGAUAGGGCAUCCAAAUAGUCAUUUCAAGGAAUUAUAACCACAAGAGUUUUCAGCUAAUGAAUUUAGAAGAAAUGGUAGAACUGGGCCAGGCAUGGUGGCUCAUGCCUGUAAUCCCAGCACUUUGACUGAGGCAGGCGGAUCACCUGAGGUCAGGAGUUCAAGACCAGCCUGGCCAACAUGGCGGACACCCAUCUCUAUUCAAAAUACAAAAAUUAGCUGGGUGUGCUGGCAUGUGCCUGUAGUCCCAGCUACUUGGGAGGCUGAGGCACGAGAAUCACUUGAAGCUGGAACCCAGGAGGCAGAGGUUGCAGUGAGCUGAGAUCACGCCAGUGCUCUCCAGCCUGGGAGACAGACCAAGACUCUGUCUCAAACAAAAAAAAAGGAAGAAGAAAUGGUAGAAUUAGAAUAUCACCAUUUUGUAAUCUUCAUGAAAUAAUGACAAUAACAAUGGUCAUCAAUGGCUGCUAAUAUCAUACAAAAGGCAAGUGGACAUCAUGUGCUUCCCACCCUGUCUAGUCGCAGAAUACUAUAAAGUAUUCUUGACAAAGACUGGACCUAGGCUAGGCGCAGUGGCUCACGCCUGUAAUCCCAGCACUUGGGAGGCCAAGGUGGGUGGAUCACCUGAAGUCAGGAGUUCGAGACCAGCCUGACCAACAUGGCGAAACCCUGUCUCUACUAAAAAUACAUCAAUUAGCUGGGUGUAGUGGCAGGUGCCUGUAAUCCCAGCUACUCAGGAGGCUGAGGCAGGAGAAUCGCUUGAACCUGGGAGGCGGAGGUUGCAGUGAGCUGAGAGCUUACCAUUGCACUCCAGCCUGGGUGACAAGAGCAAGACUCCAUCUCCAAAAAAGAAAGAAAAAAAAAAAGAAAAAAAAGACUGGACCUAAAUAUGACCAAGCCUCUAGAUCUAGUUUUCAGGUUACACAGGGGCAGAGAAAUAUACUAAUGGCACCAUGAGGAUAAAAUCAGCAAAGUCCAAACUAUGAGACACGCUACAAAUGACACAGUUUCUUAAAAACAGUACCAAAAAAAAAAAUGGGGGUGACCUGUACACUAAGAAAAACUCUUAGAAUACAUAUCAAAAAAAGCAAUGUAUUGCCAGGCAUAAUGGCUCACGCCUGUAAUCCCAGCACUUUGGGAGGCCGAGGCAGGCAGAUCACG
rnacentral:lncRNA from 10 species